CUUUGGACAGGACCAUCAGCUUUUUCCUUGCCUUCGGACUUGAAUUAAACAUCAUCUCUUCCUUGGCGUCAAGCCUGCUGCCAUCAGACUGGAACUAAACCAUCAGCUCUCAUGGGACUCCAUCUUGCUGACUUAUCCUGCAGAUCUUGGGAUUUAACCGCCUCCAUAAUCACGAAUCCUCCCUCCAGGUCACUGGGAGCUUCAAUUCCUUAGAAGAAAGAAAGAGAUGACUCCUGCUUCAUAGUCCAGGAAAAUCCCCACACACCGUGGAGGCUCUUUAAGGCGGAAGGAGGUCUGCGGGGAUGUGAGAGCUUCAUACUCAUUCCCACGACUCUGUCGCAGAAGCCAGUGUCCAUUGGCAGAUAGACUUCAACAAGGUGUCCAACUCAGUGGCCCACAGUAAAUGUCAAAUUAAUGAAGACAAAAUGGCAAUAAGGAAAAGGAGUUCCAGGCACUGUGACAGAUUUUUUUUUAAGGUUGCCUGUUUUAACACUGAAAACAAUCAGAUAAGGCAAAGGCACACCAUGAUGAGAAGUACCAGGACAGGCAGGAUCACAGCCAGAGCCACUGCUGAGGGGGAGAGACUCCCCACAGAUGGGGCUGAAACAGAAACCACCAACGACUGACCUCAGGGAGAUGUCUAAGAGCUUCUGGCAUGCCUCAGAUGGCAGGCGGCUCCAGCACAUCCCAACACUCUCCAUCACCUCUAGGGAGAGAGCUCCGGCCAAGAGGCUCUUUGCUUCUCUGAUAACUCAAGCCCUGGAUAGCAUUAAAGAUAACUGAGGCUGGGAACGGUGGCUCACGCCUGUAAUACCAGCACUUUGGGAGGCAGAGGCAGGAGGAUCAUCUGAGAUCAGGAGUUCAAGACCAGCUGGCCAAUGUGGGGAAACUCCGUGUCUACUAAAAAUACAAAAAUUAGCCAGGUGUGGUGGCGGGCACCUGUAAUCCCAGCUCUUCAGGAGGCUGAGGCAGGAGAAUCCCUUGAACCCGGGAGGCAGAGGUUGCAGUGAGCCAAGGUCACACCAUUGUACUCCAGCCUGGGUGACAAGAGUGAAACUCCAUCUCAAAAACAAACAAACAAACAAACAAACAAAAACUGAGAUGUUCCUCUCUCGGGAAUGGUUUGGAUGGUCCUGCCUCAAGAUGAUGACUUAAACAAACUUCUUGACCACAAUCUCAUCCUGCCCUAUAAUUCAAUGGAAAAAUAAGCCCGGGACUUCAGAGGACUGAAGGCACUCUCCUCACUACACACCUCCAGUCUUCCCAGGAGCACCUGCCUGUUUACCCCUGUCAAUCCUCACUCUGCUCUAGAAGAGCAGGCAGCAACCUCUUUGCCCUGAGCACUGUCCACGGGGGCAAAGCAAUUUCUAUGAUGCCGCAGCAGUAGGCCUGAAGCCUAGGCAGGAGAGAAAGGG
rnacentral:lncRNA from 1 species